GAUGAAGAACGCAGCGAAAUGCGAUACUUGGUGUGAAUUGCAGAAUCCCGUGAACCAUCGAGUCUUUGAACGCAAGUUGCGCCCGAAGCCAUUAGGCCGAGGGCACGCCUGCCUGGGCGUCACACGUCGUUGCCCCCCCAUCUACUCCUUCGGGAUUGCGGGGGGCGGAUGAUGGCCUCCCGUGCGCCUCGUCGCGCGGUUGGCAUAAAUGCCAAGUCCUCGGCGCCGCACGCCACGACAAUCGGUGGUUGCGAAACCUCGGUUGCCCGUCGUGUGCGGUCGUCGCGCAUCGAGGGCUCGAAAAAAUUGCCGGGCUCCGGCUCGGCUUUCAACGCGACCCCAGGUCAGGCGGGGUUACCCGCUGAAUUUAAGCAUAUCAAUAAGCGGAGGA
rnacentral:misc_RNA from 1 species